AGAAUGAAAUAAACAAUUAAUUUCCCCAUAGGCGACAAUGGUAGCCUUUUUCGAGAUACAGACUUUAGAAAGUUGAUUUUUUUAACGAAACCUUGCUAGAAUCAAAGAAAAGUUAUUAGGACAGUAUUUUUUGGUCCCAAAAAUAUAGGUUCGCGUUGCUUUUCUUAGCGUAUUUUGUACUUAUCUCCCAUGCCUAUCAAUUUUGCCCUUAAAAAUACGUGUCUUGUCCUAGCGUUGAAAAGUCAUCUCAGUGCCUUUAGGGCUACGGAAUAAUUUUUAUUUUGCCUUUUGUAUAAAGCAGAGUGCACGAAGUCUCUAAAAAUAAAAAAUAACGUGCGCACAUAUGGACCAAUCAGGAUAAGCCAUACUCUUAAUUCUGAAUACCAUGUUAUGCUCAUAAAAUGGCUGCGCCCAUAAAAUCUAAUGGUGUAUUGUAACCUUAAUUAAU
rnacentral:lncRNA from 1 species